AUACGUAGGGGGCGAGCGUUGUCCGGAAUGAUUGGGCGUAAAGGGCGCGUAGGCGGCUUUGCAAGUCAGUAGUGGAAGUCCAUUUUUCAAGGAUGGAAGUGCUACAGAAACUGCGGAGCUUGAGUGCAGGAGAGGUUAUCGGAAUUCCCGGUGUAGCGGUGAAAUGCGUAGAGAUCGGGAGGAACACCAGUGGCGAAGGCGGGUAACUGGACUGCAACUGACGCUGAGGCGCGAAAGUGUGGGGAGCAAACAGGAUUAGAUACCCUGGUAGUCCACACUGUAAACGAUGAAUGCUAGGUGUAGGGGGUAUCGACCCCUUCUGUGCCGCAGUAAACACAGUAAGCAUUCCGCCUGGGGAGUACGGUCGCAAGGCUAAAACUCAAAUGAAUUGACGGGG
rnacentral:rRNA from 1 species